rnacentral:lncRNA from 1 species
CAAAUGACAGCAUAUUAAUACCUAUUAUGACAUGGAACAAUAUUUCGACGGAAUAUUGAAUCGUGUAUUACAGUUGUCAUGUUCAGUAUUUUAGGACAUUUUGUAGGUUUUUUUGGCAAAAUCCUUAUGUCUCCAUUAAUUUUAUUGACAUGCACCUACUAGACUGGAAACACGAAAUCUUUUAACCAGCAGUAAAUUAUUUUCCACAGUGUUUACUUGUUUACGUGAAAGGUAUGUACGUAUAUUUAGGAAAAGUGCAUUUAUUUGUUUCAUUGGUUAAUUUAAAUCUUUCAAUUUUAAGCACAUAUUUUAUUCAUUUUAUAUUUGAUUGUAUUUAGUUUUCUUAUAUUUUCAUUGUUUCUCGUAUAGUGACUACUUAUACUACAAACUUAGAUAAACAAGCCAUUGCUAGUUAUGAUUCUGUUCAUGUACUUUUCUACGAACAGAAGACUCCCCCUGGUUAUGUUUUCAAAAGACACAAAAUAAAGAAGACAUACAGUUGGUUAAGUAAUUGACUAUUUGCCAUUCCUUAAGUGCCUAUGUACUCGUAGCAAGAAUGAAGUAUGUAUUUCCUUUAUAAAAUAGAAUAAAAUGAACAUUCUAAUGAAAUUAUUUAAAAAAAAAACGUUUAGUUUCAAAACCUAUUUACUUUAUAUGAACUUUUUGCUUGAAACACACAUUUUACUGUUCAAAGUCUAUUAACCAAUUAAUAGUUUCAAAAACAAUUAACCGGUUAUAUAAUAUUCUUCUUAAGUGAAACACUAGUAGCAGACAUUUCUCCGUUCUUCUAUAUUGUUUCAAUUUUCUCGUUUUAAUAGAAUUUUACUAGUAUUAAUUAGGUCAAUGAAGAAUAAGGUUUCACGGAUUUUUUUAACAUCGUCUAGACUUAAAAUUUGAAUAUGAUGGUCCAAAAUGUUUCAUUGAGACCGGAAGUAAGAGAGACAUAGUAAAGUGAAUCAUCAUACAUUGUCUGGAAAUAUACACCAAUGUAUUUCUGUAUAUUAAAACAGUUAUUUACUGGCUUUUCGGACGAUAGCAAGUUUAUUGCCCUCUCGUUAGCAAAUAUUACUCUCCGCCUCGCGUUGCGAAAUGGGUUGAGUCUUGAGGGAAAAUAAACUUGCUACUUAUCGAAUAAGUAUAUACAAUUAGUAUCACGAUUCACAUACUAUUUGCUUCAUCUUAUAAGUAAUUACACAUUAAAAUUAUCACACAGUUGUAAAUUAUAAGCUAAGGCUGGUAUCUUUGAUGAGUUUUUUACCAGCACUUUUUCACAUCAACAUAGUUAUCAUCUAUAAUUUACCACUCCUUAAUAAGCUCAUUUCUUAUUAUACAGAAUUUUAAUAAUUAUUGCUAUGGAAAGUUGCAGAACUAUAGCCCAUGAUGAAACAUUGAUCAUUUGGAGCAAAUACCUUGAAGUUGAUGUUUUGUCACAAAGCUGGGGCGUAUCAUGAGUCCAAAACAUUGGUCGCAGAUUAGAUGUUUACAUCCAUUUUAGCACAUGUUAGAUUACUGGUUGUAAAGGUUACCCAAUUGAAAGAUACAUUCUAUGGAAUUUAGUAACGAUGACAAUAAGAAUUUACAUGCCCUCAUUGCAAAAUUAUAUGGAUAAAGAGAUGGCAAAGUCUGUAAAAAAUGAAAGGACAUCGUAACAAGCCUUAUCUGUACAUUUAAAAUGUAGACCAAAUAAUAAGGCAAACUUACGUGCAUAUAUGGUAUCCUUUAUGUUAAUUUCUAGGGCACUUACAUAUAUGCGACAAAACAAGUUCCCGGUUCAUUCAGAGAAAACACUUAUCGAUAUUUCACAACUCUAAAACGGGUCAGUAACAAACCAUAUAACUUAUAAUAGGGGUAGAUAAAGAUCUAAAAUUUACGAGAAAUUACCCGUAUUAUUUCCAUUUCCCCUUUUUUUACUUUCCAAUUCUGUGUUCUAUGUCGCGGAUAACUUUCCUUUUUUGAAUAUCGUACAUGAGCAUUGUUGGUUGCUGCUUGCAAGGAAUGUAUUGAACCAAUGUUGCCUAUUGGUAAAGUCCUAUUUCCUACUUUUACGGACAUGAAAAAAGAAAGGCAACAGUAGUAUACUGCUGUUCGAAAUUCAUAAAUCGAUAGAGAAAAAAAUAAAAUCCGAGUUACAAACUGAAACUGAGGGAAACCCAUCAAAAAUAAGAUAACUACGACACAACAGAAACACAUGCUUACAUGGCAAUGUUAAUUACAACAUUAAAAUGACAAAAUUACAUGACAGGACAUGAAAGUUGUCGAAUGGGUGUUUAAACGCAUAUGAUCCGUUGCCACAACCCUGUGCUUUCCUCGAUAUGUCAUCAUUAAAUGUGACUGCAAUAAUUCGUAAUUGGCAAAAGUAGCAUGCACAACAGGUGCUUCUAAUUGAAAAGGAUCCAAAAGCUGUUUCUCGAUAUCUGAUUUUCCCCAAUUAUCAGCUGUAAUUUUUCAUGUUAAACCAUUUAACAAUCAACAAUCAAUUACUCGUGUUAUAACAUAAUUAUAAUAAUGGGUCAUUAGUCGUAUAUAUUCAAAUUUUUUUGUAUAAUAUAUUGAUUUCUCCCAUAUUAGUUCCUUAUCGAUUAAUACGCAAACCUAACAUUCGUUGAAAGGACAAACGAUUUAAGAGGUGCAGCUAUAUGUUUGUGAAACCACCAGUUUUUAUUAUAUUUUGUCCUUAGUAUCACGUCUACUUUAAUAUUGAAACGUAGCUGACAGAUGAUUAGUUUUAUAAAAUAGAAAUACGUUUUAGUUUCUCCUUAAUAUGAUGUGAUCUUUAUCAAAACAUAUUAUUCCUGUAUUACAACACCAAUAGUGAAACGAAUCUUCUACAACAUCGGAAGUUAAUUAAUACUUUUACAAGCUUUAAUAUUGUUUUCCCAUGUGUUUAACAUGAUAUUCUGUAUAUUAUACUCUAUACUGAGGGUAUCACAAGCCCUGUGGUCAGCACUUGACAUUGACAUGAAUAAUCAUUGAUACGAUCAUAAUUGUGAAUUAACUGUUUACAAAACUUUACAUAUUUGAAAUACAAAGGAUUUUCUAUCUCAGGUUAUAUUUGUUAUUCUCAUCGGAUUUUUUCAAAUGUCUAACGUCUUUUCUGUUAUAUUCGUUUGUUAUGGUUAAGAAAAUUAAUCACUCUCUUCAUUUAUUAGAUUUUAGUUUGGUUCCACGAAAUCUGUACGAUAUAUUUGCUUUACAGUUAGAUUCAGAAGAAACACCGACAUAGCUAGAUAAUAUAAUUAAUUAUCUAAUUAAUACCACAUAUUUUUGGGAAAUACUUUUAGAAAUUCAAAUGGGACGUCACUUUAUGUGGUUUUUAUUUUAUAGAAUUUCAAAUGUGACGUUGACAUGGUUGAGGCUUUGGCUAACUCGGCUGUGUAUUUUUAUCUGCUGGAUAAAGUUGUAAUGUAUUCGUUUUUAUUCUGUAGUUAGUUACCACUUCGGUUUUAUUAUGUAUAUCUAUCAUAUACUAGUAGUCAUUUUAUAAAAUUUGCUGUUUGCAAAAGUAUAAAUUAUUUUAAAUAAUAAGGAUGUUCUUAUCCCAGGCAGAAACCCUAGCCAUAUUGGACACUUUUAGGAAAUUUUGGUCCUCAAUGCUUUUCAACUUUGUACAUGUUUUGCAUUGGCUUUCGAGUUUUUUUCCUUUGAGCGUCACUAGUGUUUUGUGUGGACGCAACGAACGUCUGGCGUACUAGAAUUAAAACCUGGCAUCUUUUGGUAGCUAUUAUUCGGUGUUUGUCUGUCAUAUAUGUUCUUCCGUUUAUUUGUAUUGUAGUCCUGUUAUUUAAUGUUGUCAUUUUAAUGUUACAUUUAACAUUGCCAUAAAAGCGGGAGGUUUGGCUGGACACAAAACCAGGUUCAACCCGCCAAUUAUUUUCUUCAAAUGUCCUGUCAGGAAAAUGGUCAUUGUUAUAUUAUAGAUUGUUUCUGUGUGUGGUUUCAUUUUAAUGUUGUGUUUCUGUUGUGUCGUUGUUCUCCUCUGAUAUUCGAUGCGUUUCCUCAGUUUUAGUUUGUUACCCGGAUUUGUUUUUUUCUCAAGUCUAUUUAUGAGUUUCAAACAGCGGUAUACUACUGUGUCUUUAUUUAGGAAUAGAUUACCUAAGCUGUAUUUGUCAAAACUUUUAGGAUUUUUUAGUUCUAAAUGUUCUUCAACUUCGUACUUAAAAGGGGACGAAAGAUAUCAGAAGGACAGUCAAACUCAUUAAUCGAAAAUAAACUGACAACGCCAUGGUUAAAAAUGAAAAGGACAAACAGACAAGCAAUAGUACAAAUGACACAACAUGGAAAACUAGAAAAGUUUAAAAACCCACCAAAAACUAGGGGUGAUCUCAGGUGCUCCGGAAGGGUAAGCAAAUCCUGCUCCACAUGUGGCCUCCCGUCGUGUUGCUUAUGAGAUAACAAAUCCGGUAAAUCAUUUUCUGUAGGUCACAUUCAUGAAAGGGAAGCGGAUUGUAGUUACGACGUAAUGAACAUAUUCCGAUAUCUUUUGUGAAACGGUAUUCCAUAACGGUCAACCAACUCGUGAUGGCGCCCGUAAAAUUUACGAAGAGAUGAUUUUUACUUCACCAUUUGGAACUCUUGAUUCAAUAGCUUCCUUGUGAUCAACAACCCUCUAUCCAGAAAAUCAUGAUAGGAAAUGCAAGCAUGGGCCUUUUUGCCUUUUUUUAUUCGGGCGUAACUAAUGUAGACGAAACGCGCGUCUGGCACAAAUGCAAAAUUUCAAUCCUGGUAUCUAUGAUGAGUUUAUGUAUAGUCAUGAAACGUCCCGGAAAACAUUAUAAUUAUAAGUAUAAUUAUUUUGAAUGCAUAUCUACAUGGCUUGAAAAAAAUUCUUUAUUACUGUUGUAAAAUAAUAAUAUAUUUGUUAUAAACAUAGGUAAGCAUCGAGUAAUAUAAAAAUAAUCAUCAAGGAAAAACACAUAUACGACAUACGUAUUUGAAAAUUUCUCUACAGUCACAACCAUGUCAGAAUUCAGUUAUAUAUUCAAUUAUAAAAAGUCAUGGGAAUUAAAGCAUAUUCAAGAUUUUUAUUAUACAUGUACGAUGUUUCGCUGUUUUUUUGGGAUAAAUAUUAGGGUGAACAAACCCUAUGUUUGUUUUGCAGAACACAAGAUAAGAGUAUCGGUGUGUUAGAAUUAACAUGCUUGAUUUAUUUCAUUAAAGCAUAAUGUAUUCAGUUUGUUGCUGGAAAAUAGGUUCAAUAUAUUACAUUUACUAAGUUACAGCAAACUCAUUUACCAUUGAAUAUUGUUUUUCAUCUAAGUACUUGGUAUGAAUAAAAGAGUAUAACAAAAUUACCGAACUUCAAGGUAAAUUACCGAACUUCAAGGUAAAUUACCGAACGUCAAGGUAAAUUACCGAACUUCAAGGUAAAUUACCGAACGUCAAGGUAAAUUUUAAAAAAAGGAGGACGUCAUAAAACUGACAAGGUCUUACGUUAGACUUUAUCAUCAACAGAACAAAUGAAAACAACUGUCGUACUCCUGACAUGGUACAGGUAUUUCCAAAAAAACCCAAAAUGGUGGGUUAAACAUAUUCAUAUAGCUAUCUAAACCUCGUAAACCAGUUAGUAUGAAUAAUUCUGAUUUCACAGAAUCCCAAUUUUUUCUAUUGGGGGAAUUUUGCAUCAAAAAGUAUGAUACACAAAACAUUUGUAAAUAAACGUGAAGACAUCUCAUGUUAAAAUGAGUACACUGUCAAUAUGUUGUGCAACUAUAUCUCUAUAAGUUCAAGACAGGUUUUGUCUUGAAAAGUCGGCAAAUUUCUCUUCUUUAGCUUUGUAGUGGGUAUUAAAGGGGCACUAGCUGUCAAAUUCAUUGUAACCGAUUUGACUCAAAUUCUCAUAUUUGGUUUAUAACAAUGUAAAACAUUUACCAAACUAUCAAAAGUAAAAUAACAGUUUGCAAGCUUAGAUAAUAUAUAGGUUCGUUUCGUGUGUAUUUAGUCCAGACGCCAUCUAUUAACUAUCGAUUUGACCAGAUGACCAUAUAGCGAUGUAACAAAAAUAAAGAUACGAAUAGAUUAAACCAACACGUGCAAUUGCAUUUUUUAUAGGUCUGUUUGAUUUUAUUUAUAGAUUAAAAAUAGAUGUUUCUCAUUGUUUUUAACAUAUAGAAUGAUUUUUGUGCAUCGAAUUAGUAAUCAAAUAUUUACCGUAGUUUCCUUUCAUUGGACAUUCUUUUUUCUUUAAAUAACCAGUACACGUACAAUGCAUGCGUGUCAAUCUCUAGCUAGGGUUAACUUGAGUUAUAUGAAUACCGGUUAGAAUGAUGAUGACGUUUUCACUUGCAAGUGAAUCAGUCAAAAAAUUAUGUUUAAUCGCUUAUUUCAACAAAAUUAAGGAAAUUGAUUGCUAAGCAAUUAUUAUUUCAUUAUUCCAAUUUGAUUAAUGAUUGAUUAAAAAUCAUACUUUAUUUUUUUAUAUAUAUCGUAGCUAGUGCCCCUUUAAGCAAUUAUCCGCGAAUCCAUUAUUUAUGUCAAGCUUUUAAUUUAUUACUUUAGUAUGAUAUUUAAUGGAUUUAACAAAUUUUCAUAGGACAGACAUUAAAGCCUUAUUAUCUAUUAGAAAUUUACGAUGGAAUUGAUUUAUGUAUACCAUUCAUAAGGAACUUAUAUAAUGAAAUAUAGUUUUUAUAACUAAGAAUAAUUUAUACGGAACUUAAUUGCAUCGUGAUAUGUAAACUGACUCUUUCAGCUGGAUAUGUCGGCACCAAAAGUUAUUGAAAAAGCAUACACUCAAAAUCGAUAUAAGUUCAAAAGCUGCAUAAAAUUCUAUAGUGCCUAAUCAUAAUGACGCAAUGAGUCUUAAAUUUAAUCUGCCAGACGAAGCCAGAAGACUGAAAACCAAAUAUUUUAUUUACGACUUAAAUGUUGCUAUAUGUAUUUUUUAGGGGAAGGAAAAGCGUUGAUCGAAUCAAGUUUCGUAUGAAGCUGGUACCUCCCUUCGUGCUAAAAAUUGCCUAUAAUUAACGUUUUUAAAAACCUUAAAGGAUACAGAAAGAUACAUUCAAUUUUAUUCAUUACAUCGUGAUGCCACAUUCAUGAAAUUACGAGUUAUAACAUAUUUUUUCCGCAUUGUUGUGAUGUUAUCAUGGAAACCGCAUGUUGUCAUGAAUUUUGCAUUUUAUUAGCAAUUAAAAUAUAACGACACACACUUCCACUGAAUACACAUGAUGUUUACUCAAAAACUAGUUGCAAUUGUGUCAUACAUAUGCAGGACUAGAAUCAAAUAUUAAUGAUUUGGUGUUUUUUUUUUUUUAAAUGUAGACAGAAAUAAAGUGCAAGGUAUUUGAACAGUCGCUGACAAAAGAUAUCCAGAAAUAUUUGGACGCUUCAAAUUGAUAAAGUGUUAUUUUUAUUGAUAUGGUUUUAUUUAUAAAUUUACUGUUUACAAAAUAUUGAAGUUUUUGAAAUACUAAGGCUUUUCUACCUCAAGUAUAGAUUACCUUAGCUGUAUUUGGCAAAACUUUUUAGGAAUUUUGGUCCUCAAUGCUCUUCAACUUCGUACUUUAUUUGGCGUUUUAAACUUUUUUGGAUUCAAGCGUCACUGAUGAGUCUUUUGUAGACGAAACGCGGGUCUGGCGUAUAUACUAAAUUUAAUCCUGGUAUCUAUGAUGAGUUUAUUUUCAUUAUUCGAGAACUUGGUCGAAGCCGUUGCUGGUUGACUGUUAGUCCCUGAGGGUAUCGUCAGCUCUGUUUUGAGUACUUUGGUACUGAUAUGAUUUAUGAAACACUUUAUUUUAAUUCUCUGUUGAUGCAAUAAUAAAUUAGUUUGAAUUAAUGUUCCAACUCCAACAGUCAGCUGAGUUAAACUCAUUCAUUUUAAACUAUUAAUCUUUUGCCUUAAUAUCAUAUUUAAUUGAUUUAACUUAUUUCAUGCGACAGACAUUAGCUCUUUAUUAUUUAUAAGAAUUUUGCGAUGAAAUUGAUUUUUGUAAACCAUUCUUAAGGAACUUAUCUAACGGAAAUAUUAUUUUAUAACUGAGAAUAAAAUGGAUUUAAUGGCAUCAUAAUAUUUAAUCUGGAUACAAUUAAAGGAAUGAUUUCGCCCACAAAAUGAUUAAUGUUUAGUAUGUAGGAAUUCUUAUAUAUUUUUCCAUAUUUUGUUAUUCUUUGUAGUACUCUUUUGGUCAAUUAGGCUCUCACGUAUUUCGAUAUAUUUGGUAGAAUUCAUUAGUUUUCAUAUGUUGGUGUUAGGGCGUUUCUGAGGAACGAAAAUAACUUCCAAUGCACCAAAUUUAUAAAGUGUAAAUUUAAAUUUCUAUUUCCAGGGUAACAUUAGGGUUAAGCUAGAAAGGGUAUAUUUAGUUUCAACAUACUAUUUUUCAUCACAUUACUUGUUUUGUUUGUGUUUUUAAGAUGGCAUCCUGUAAACCACUUGUAGUUUUGAUAAUAGCUUCAAUACUGGUGUGUGUCCAUACACAGACAGCAGCAAUGCGAGUAUUUCCGAAAAGAGCCAAUGGCAGCUUUGG